rnacentral:rRNA from 1 species
UACGAGAGGUCCAAACGUUAUUCGGAAUCACUGGGCUUACAGGGUGCGUAGGCGGCUCAACAAGUCAGGUGUGAAAGCCCCCGGCUCAACCGGGGAACUGCGCUUGAAACUGUUAGGCUCGAGUCAGCUAGAGGUACACGGAACUUCCAGUGGAGCGGUGAAAUGUGUUGAUAUUGGAAGGAACACCGGAGGCGAAAGCGGUGUACUGGGGCUGGUCUGACGCUGAGGCACGAAAGCCAGGGGAGCGAACGGG